GAUAAAAAGUUCCCUUUUAAUAAACCGUGUAUUUGCUACUUGUCUCUCUCUCUUUCUUCUUUCCUCCCAGCCCUCUCCUAUGUCCCUCGCCCAGGUUACUUCUUGCCUCUGGUUGUGUGCCUGCCCUUGGUUCUUGUGCUGUUGGCUGUUUCUCUGCUGGUCAUCUACAAAUGGAAGACAAGGAGGAAUACUGGUUUGAACACCAGAGGAAAUGCAGGCAGCGUACAGAUGGAGGUGGAGUCCGUCAUCUAUGAGAACUGUCCUCCAGUCUCCACAUGUGAAGACUCCAUCUACCAGAACUUCAUUUUAAGACCGGAUACAAAUAGUAAUGUUUGCAUUUGAAUCUUGGUUUUGUACUGUGCAGCUUAUAAUGUGCUGUAAAGUUCCCUUUUCUUCCUUUUCUUUUGGCAGAUAUUAUCUAUAAAUCAUAUUAUCACCUCUCUUCUGAUGAUGCAGAGCUGAUCAUUUGUCUCAGGGUGUUCAGCAUUUUAUCACUUGAUUAUUGUGAAAUGUCAAAUCUGUCUUCAGAAAUGUAGGUGUUGGUUAUUCUUUCCAAAACUUUGAGAAAAACAUAAAUAAAUCAAUACAGUCCAGCAUUUAAUAUGCCACACUAAGCGUCAUUUUGUAAUUGUUAUUUUAGUUUAAUGAAGUCAUUGUGUUUGUCAUUCUUUAUUUGUAUUAUGUUGGUGGGUCCUGUGUGGUGAAAGAUGGUACUGCAUGUUUACAUAAAAGACUGAAAAAUACUCAAAGGUGCGUCAUUAACAAUUGUGAUGGCAAUUCGAGUUUUCAAAUAAACAGCUCAGGCAAACACU